rnacentral:rRNA from 1 species
UACAGAGGUGGCAAGCGUUGUUCGGAAUUACUGGGCGUAAAGAGCGUGUAGGCGGUCCGGUAAGUCAGCUGUGAAAGUCAAGGGCUCAACCCUUGAAUGCCGGUUGAUACUGUCGGGCUAGAGUCCGGAAGAGGCGAGUGGAAUUCCCGGUGUAGCGGUGAAAUGCAUAGAUACCACCCAGAACUCCGAUUGCGAAGGCAGCCUACUGGAGGUUUACCGACGCUCAGGCACGAAAGCGUGGGGAUCAAACAGG